AAAGUAGUAACUAAUAGUGUAAUAAAUGAAUUUGUAAUGAAAAAAUAAAGGUUAAAUUUUUUGCUGAAAUUUUUGUACCCACGAGCCACCUUAAGUGCAGAAAGGAAUUUUAGCAAGUUUUAUUUGUAACUAUUUGGGAUAUGUGGGUGUCUGUUUCUAGAAAGAAAUAGAAAAUUCCAAAGCAGUUCCAAGCAUUGACCCAAAAUAAAGUCUAAUGUAAGAACUUCCAAAACUAUAAAUUAUAAAGUGUUUUUACUGUAUGUGUAUUUUUUUUUUUGUUUUUUGUUUUUUUUUUGUUUUGAUAUAUUUUAGUUUUUAAGGUUGCAUAAAUUAAUUCAUAGCAA
rnacentral:lncRNA from 1 species